GAUGAACGCUAGCGGCAGGCCUAACACAUGCAAGUCGAGGGGUAACAGAGAGUGCUUGCACUCUGCUGACGACCGGCGCACGGGUGAGUAACGCGUAUACAAUCUACCUUGUACUAGGGGAUAGCCUUUAGAAAUGAAGAUUAAUACCCUAUAGUAUGUAUUUGUGGCAUCACAUUAUACAUUAAAGGUUACGGUAUAAGAUGAGUAUGCGUCCUAUUAGUUAGUUGGUAAGGUAACGGCUUACCAAGACUACGAUAGGUAGGGGCCCCGAGAGGGGGACCCCCCACACUGGUACUGAGACACGGACCAG
rnacentral:rRNA from 1 species